rnacentral:lncRNA from 1 species
CACAAAUGGGCGGCCAUUGGAUGUGGGACACGCCAAGAACUGGCAGCCAUUGGAGAUUUGGACAACCCAAGAUGGCGGCUAUUGGUGACACAAGAUGGCGGCCAUUGGGUUUGGACACCCAAGAUGGCGGCCAUUGGUGACACAAGAUGGCGGCCAUUGGCUUUGGACACCCAAGAUGGCGGCCAUUGGAUUUGGACACCCAAGAUGGCGGCCAUUGGCUUUGGACACCCAAGAUGGCGGCCAUUGGUGACACAAGAUGGCAGCCAUUGGCUUUGGACACUGAAGAUGGCGGCCAAUGGACCCAUCAGAAAGCCAAUAUGGUCAUAAAUUGGACCCAAUCGAGAAACCAAUUGGACCCAUCAGAACCCUUGGGACCCAUCAGAACCCAUUGGGACCCAUCAAACCAAAUUGGACCAUCAGAACCAUUGGACCCAUCAGAACCGAAUUGGGACCAUCAGAACGCCAUUGGACCAUCAGAACCAAUUGGACCCAUAUCAAAGCAACCAAUUGCGGUCAGCAAUGGACCCAGUCAGCCCCAUUGGACCCAUCAGAACCAAUUGGGAGACCCUCAGAACCAAUUGGGACCCAUCAGAACCAAUAUUGGGUCAGCAUUGGACCCAUCAGAACCAAUUGGACCCAUCAGAACCCAUUGGACCCAUCAGAACCCAUUGGACCCAUCAGAACCCAUUGGACCCAUCAGAACCAAUUGGACCAUCAAAACCCAUUGGACGCACAGAACCAAUUGGACCCCCAUCAGAACCAGUAUGGUCAGUAUCGGACCAUCAGAACCCAUUGGUCAGCAUUGGACCAUCAGAACCAAUUGGACCCAUCAGAACCCAUUGGACCCAUCAGAACCAAUUGGGACCCAUCAGAACCCAUUGGGCCCAUCAGAACCCAUUGGACCCAUCAGAACCAAUAUUGGGUCAGCAUUGGACCCAUCAGAACCCAUUGGACCCAUCAGAACCCAUUGGGACCCAUCAGAACCCAUUGGGACCCAUCAGAACCAAUUGGGACCCAUCAGAACCAAUAUUGGGUCAGCAUUGGACCCAUCAGAACCCAUUGGGACCCAUCAGACCCAUUGGGACCCAUUCAGAAUCCAAAUUGGACCAUCAGAAAACCCAUUGGACCCAUCAGAACCAAUUGGACCCAUCAGAACCAAUUGGACCCAUCAGAACCCAAUAUUGGGUCAGCAUUGGACCCAUCAGAACCAAUUGGACCCAUCAGAACCAAUUGGACCCAUCAGAACCCAUUGGGACCCAUCAGAACCCAUUGGGACCCAUCAGAACCAAUUGGGACCCAUCAGAACCAAUUGGACCCAUCAGAACCCAUUGGACCCAUCAGAACCAUUGUGACCCCAUGCAGAACCAAUGUGGACCCCAUCAGAACCGCAUUGCGGAACCCAUCAAACCAAUUGGCCAUCAAGAACCCAUUGGACCCAUCAGAACAAAUAUUGGUCAGCAUUGGACCCAUCAGAACAAUAUGGGAACCCAUCAGAACCCAUUGGACCAUCAGGAACCAAUUGCGGACCAUCAGAACCCACUUGGACCCAUCAGAACCCAUUGGACCCAUCAGAACCCAUUGGGACCCAUCAGAAACCAAUAUGGGUCAGUAUAUGGGACCAUCAAACCAAUUGGACCCAUGCAGAACCAAAUUGAAACCCAUCAGAUACCCAUUGGGACCACAUCAGCAACCCAUUGGACCCGUAUUAGGGGGGGUCCCUAUAGUUUGUAGUGUUGGGCUGGGAUAUAGGGUUGUUUUAUGGGGGCGGCGGGCGGCAUAUUUUGGGGUAGAAAUGAGAAGUUGGGGUUUGUGGGGGGGGGAGGAGAUUUUGGGGGUGUUUUGUAAUAAAGAAGUGAAAGAAAUUGAGGGGUUCUUUUUUGGGGGGGGGUCUGGGACCCUAUAAAGUGG